GCCGCUGUAGCAUCAAUUGGCAGAGCGCCGCUCUUGUAAAGCGAAGGUUAGGGGUUCGAGUCCCCUCAGCGGCUCCA
rnacentral:tRNA from 1 species